AGGGUAUCAUCCCCAGAGUGCAGAGGAAGGAACAAGGCUCCGAGGCUGACAAAUUUGUCAUCCGUAGCUAAUGAGUGGUUGCAGGAAUCCACCAGGAGUGGUGAUUCUUCUCAAACAAGUGUGGAUAGGGGUCUGCGGGCUGGGAGGUCAGGAUGUCACCUGUCGCCCAUACCUGAAUGAAACCCGG